GACGGAGGAUGCAAGCGUUAUCCGGAAUGAUUGGGCGUAAAGCGUGCGCAGGUGGCAGUUCAAGUCUGCUGUGAAAGACCAGGGCUCAACCUCGGAAGGGCAGUGGAAACUGGACAGCUAGAGUAUGGAAGGGGCAAAGGGAAUUCCUGGUGUAGCGGUGAAAUGCGUAGAGAUCAGGAAGAACAUCGGUGGCGAAGGCGCUUUGCUGGACUAUAACUGACGCUCAUGUACGAAAGCUAGGGGAUCAAAAGGG
rnacentral:rRNA from 1 species